GAUGCUUUGAGAAGAUCCAAGUUAAAUGACUGGCAAAAUGACAGGCUUGCCAAUGCAUAUGGAAGGCCCAAAACAGCAUUGCCUGAUUUCUUGUGAAUUUCAGCUAGCAGAAGAAGAAUAGUGGCAUUCUCAACCUGCAUAUUGAAUUUGUAACACAUGCAGAAGAGAGAAUGUGCAACAGCUGCUGCCUCACUGAAUUGCUUUGCUGCAAGCAAUGUACGAGCAUGGCGAAGGCUUGCUUCUCUCUUCAGUUCCAUGUCCACACCCAUGACAGAUGAAGCCAAAACUCCUAGCUCAUCACACACCUGUUGUGCUAGUUUCAGAUGUGCCCUG
rnacentral:misc_RNA from 1 species